rnacentral:lncRNA from 1 species
UUGCUCAAGGCCACACAGCUGCGAGUGGAGCCCACUGCCUCUGCUCCUCCACUGCUCCACACUGCCCUGCAAAAAGGAGGAGGCCAGUCUCGUUUCUUGGGGAAGGGUGAGGGAGACAAGACGCUGAGCUUACACAGCCCCACUCCCUCCAGAGCUACACGCCAGGGACCCCUGCCCAGACCUGCCUGGAAUGGCUGCUCCUGUGUUGGCCUCCAGCUCAGCCGUGCAUGGAUACAGGAAGACCAAUAGCCAGAGGCUGAAGGGCCAUAGGAAGGAUGCUGGGGCAGCAUCAGCUCCGUGGAGGGGCCCAUGGACCACUCUUACAUUUAAAUCCAUCUGCCAGUCAUCUAGUAGAUACUGUCUGGCUACUCACCCAGCUUCCACCACCUUUUCUGCUGUCUCAAGAACCCAGAUAUUUUUUGUCGUGGUCCCCCCAGUCCUCUCUCGUUAGAGGCCCCAGGAAGAGCCCUCAAAGGCGGAGCUCUCCAGACACUGUCAUGAGCAAAUGCGAGCCCAGGACAGCCGUGGCCACCCGGCAACACACCUUGUGGAGGGAAGUGUGCACCACUCAGGGGGACUGAGGGACCAGAGCAGGUGCCAUGGGAGAUGCCCACCCUGCAGCCCCUGGCCUCCGCUUGUCUCUCUUACGCUGGUCAAACGCAAGUUAACAUGGGUUCCAGCUGGAUGCCGAGUUGAACUCUGCGUUUGCACUCCUGCUGCACCCGCCGUGGCACACUCAGCCAGGGGCCUGUGCUGCUUCUCUCUGCCUGGAAGGGGCAUGGCUACAUGU